rnacentral:rRNA from 1 species
UACGUAGGCAGCGAGCGUUGUUCGGAGUUACUGGGCGUAAAGAGUGCGUAGGCGGUUUUCUAAGUUUGGUGUGAAAUCUCCCGGCUUAACUGGGAGGGUGCGCCGAAGACUGGAAGGCUUGAGUAUGGGAGAGGUAAGCGGAAUUCCUGGUGUAGCGGUGAAAUGCGUAGAUAUCAGAAGGAACACCUGCGGUGUAGACGGCUUACUGGACCAUAACUGACGCUGAGGCACGAAAGCGUGGGUAGCAAACAGG